GUACUGAUGAAGAGUCCUAAACCGGGACGAAACAGCUGUCCAUUAC
rnacentral:hammerhead_ribozyme from 1 species